CAGCCGCCGCGGUAAUACAGAGGGUGCAAGCGUUAAUCGGAAUUACUGGGCGUAAAGCGCGCGUAGGUGGUUUGUUAAGUUGGAUGUGAAAUCCCCGGGCUCAACCUGGGAACUGCAUCCAAAACUGGCAAGCUAGAGUAUGGUAGAGGGUGGUGGAAUUUCCUGUGUAGCGGUGAAAUGCGUAGAUAUAGGAAGGAACACCAGUGGCGAAGGCGACCACCUGGACUGAUACUGACACUGAGGUGCGAAAGCGUGGGGAGCAAACAGGAUUAGAUACCCCAGUAGUCCCUGUCUCUUAUAC
rnacentral:rRNA from 1 species